GGGAGUCACGUGACCAAGUUUGGCGCCCGGCAUGUGCGAGCUCCGGGAGUCACGUGACCAAGUUUGUUUAUGACGCCAUUUUGGCAGGAAACAGCGAGCUGCCUGGUAGCCGAGAAUGGAUGGAAGCUGUCAACUUUCAGAAAGCGAUGCACAUCGAUACACCACAAAACUUCACAGACUGCAAAUCAGUCAUCCACAUUUAUCUCCUGGUGUGCUUUUUAAAACAGUUGAUCAGGUGGCGGGGGGGCGGGACUCCCGAAUGUGCAGCGUCCCGACAUAAACAACUACCUAAUCAACUUUCCGUCGCACUACACUGGAGAUUCACUGAAGGCUACAAAAGUCUAGAGGGAUAUAAAUGGAUUCAGUCGGGAUUUGUGACCAAGAUUCUACUGUGGAGUUUAGCACAACGGGAUUGGUUUGUUGUUACAGUAAAGUUUUUUCCCUCCAUCUGAGGUUAGCUGAAGACCACGGGGGUGGGGGGUGUUCUUCACCUCUAGAGGGAGUACCGAGUUCCUGAGAACCGGACUGAGUGGUGGGAGCAGAGCUGCGUCAAAGCAGCCAAAGUGACGCAAAGUCACGCCGGAAGUAAGAGGAGAGCACUUUUAAAGUAAAGGUGGAACUUCAGAUGAACUGAUGCAACAUGCUGAAACAGUCACAACAAAUAACCUAAAACCAAACACCUUAUCUGGAUAUUUUUCUGUGUCUCUCAGAUGUAGUGUCCGGUGGUUAUUAGAAAAAAUAAUAAUAAUUACAAUAAAUAUAAUAGUUGUGCUCUAUGUCUAUUUAGCCUUCAUUUUUUAAAUAAAUAUGGAGAAAUAACCAUUUUAUUCAAAAUUCAUAUAAAAUUACCAACAUUUUCAACCUAUUUCAAAUAAAAAAAAUCAAUCCAAACAA